rnacentral:ncRNA from 1 species
GGCGCGGUCAACGAGUCGGGUUGUUUGGGAAUGCAGCCCAAAUCGGGCGGUAGACUCCGUCCAAGGCUAAAUACAGGCGAGAGACCGAUAGCGAACAAGUACCGCGAGGGAAAGAUGAAAAGGACUUUGAAAAGAUAGUCAAAGAGUGCUUGAAAUUGCGUCAAAGAGUGCUUGAAAUUGCCGGGAGUGCUUGAAAUUGCCGGGAGGGA